GGGGGUGCACCGGUUUCGACUGUGGUGGUCGAUGCUUGGGCUGCAGGUGAGGCUGCCCGUCCUCUGAACGAGCACAAUAUAUAACUGCGGAUAACACCGACAGUUACGCUCUCGCUGCGUAAGUAGCCAGAACGCGGAAGCCGGUUGCUGCUGCUCCGAAGCAGCCGGACCUUCCGACGCCAACCGGAGCUUGCCGGCCGCCGGGCCUGAACGGCGGCAGGGACACUGACCAGGAUACGGAUCCGACGCUUGCGGCGCUGCCACCGGGUCCCGACAAUCACCUCGCGCCGAUAAACCUGUAGACGCCCCUGUUUCGCACUUCAGGACGGGGGUUCGACUCCCCCCCCCCAUCUCCAAAA
rnacentral:tmRNA from 1 species